UAAGGUAAGUGAUGGAGAGCCGGUAUCUGGUAAGGUAAGUGAUGGAGAGACGGCAUCUGGUAAGGUAAGUGAUGGAGUGACGGUUUCUGGUAAGGUAAGUGAUGGAGAGACGGUAUCUGGGAAGGGAAGUGAUGGAGAGACGGUAUCUGGUAAGGUAAGUGUUGGAGAGACGGUUUCUGGUAAGGUAAGUGAUGGAGUGACGGUUUCUGGUAAGGUAAGUGAUGGAGAGACGGUAUCCGGUAAGGUAAGUGAUGGAGAGACGGUAUCUGGUCAGUUAAGUGAUGGAGUGACGGUAUCUGGUAAGUUAAGUGAUGGAGUGACGGUAUCUGGUAAGGUAAGUGAUGGAGGGAUGGUAUCUGGUAAGAUAAGUGAUGGAGAGACGGUAUCUGGUAAGGUGAGUGAUGGAGAGACGGUAUCUGGUAAGGUAAGUGACGGAGAUACGGUAUCUGGUAAGGUAAGUGAUCGAGAGACGGUAUCUGGUAAGGUAAGUGAUGGAGAGGCAGUAUCUGGUAAGGUAAGUGAUGGAGAGACGGUAUCCGGUAAGGUAAGUGAUGGAGAGACGGUAUCUGGUAAGGUAAGUGACGGAGAUACGGUAUCUGGUAAGGUAAGUGAUCGAGAGACGGUAUCUGGUAAGGUAAG